CGGGCGUUAAGUUGCAGGGUAUAGACCCGAAACCCGGUGAUCUAGCCAUGGGCAGGUUGAAGGUUGGGUAACACUAACUGGAGGACCGAACCGACUAAUGUUGAAAAAUUAGCGGAUGACCUGUGGCUGGGGGUGAAAGGCCAAUCAAACCGGGAGAUAGCUGGUUCUCCCCGAAAGCUAUUUAGGUAGCGCCUCGUGAAUUCAUCUCCGGGGGUAGAGCACUGUUUCGGCUAGGGGGCCAUCCCGGCUUACCAACCCGAUGCAAACUGCGAAUACCGGAGAAUGUUAUCACGGGAGACACACGGCGGGUGCUAACGUCCGUCGUGAAGAGGGAAACAACCCAGACCGCCAGCUAAGGUCCCAAAGUCAUGGUUAAGUGGGAAACGAUGUGGGAAGGCCCAGACAGCCAGGAUGUUGGCUUAGAAGCAGCCAUCAUUUAAAGAAAGCGUAAUAGCUCACUGGUCGAGUCGGCCUGCGCGGAAGAUGUAACGGGGCUAAACCAUGCACCGAAGCUGCGGCAGCGACACUGUGUGUUGUUGGGUAGGGGAGCGUUCUGUAAGCCUGCGAAGGUGGCCUGUGAGGGU
rnacentral:rRNA from 1 species